rnacentral:rRNA from 1 species
CCUACGGGCGGCAGCAGUCGAGAAUCAUUCACAAUGGGGGAAACCCUGAUGGUGCGACGCCGCGUGGGGGAAUGAAGGUCCUCGGAUUGUAAACCCCUGUCAUGUGGGAGCAAAUUAAAAAGAUAGUACCACAAGAGGAAGAGACGGCUAACUCUGUGCCAGCAGCCGCGGUAAUACCGAGGUCGCAAGCGUUGUUCGGAAUCACUGGGCGUAAGGCGUGCGUAGGCUGUUUCGUAAGUCGUGUGUGAAAGGCGCGGGCUCAACCCGCGGACGGCACAUGAUACUGCGAGACUAGAGUAAUGAAGGGGGGACCGGAAUUCUCGGUGUAGCAGUGAAAUGCGUAGAUAUCGGGAGGAACACUCGUGGCGAAGGCGGGUUCCUGGACAUUAACUGACGCUGAGGCACGAAGGCCAGGGGAGCGAAAGGGAUUAGAUACCCCGGUAGUC